UGUCAGGUAGAGAAUACCGAGGCGAUCGGGCGAACUGUGGUUAAGGAACUCGGCAAAUUACCCCCGUAACUUCGGGAGAAGGGGGGCCACAGACUGUCAUACCCCACGCGGGUGGCAGCAGUAGGUGGCCGCAGAGACCAGGGGGAAGCGACUGUUUACUAAAAACACAGGUCCGUGCGAAGUCGUAAGACGAUGUAUACGGACUGACGCCUGCCCGGUGCUGGAACGUUAAGGGGACCGGUUAGUCCGCAAGGGCGAAGCUGAGAACUUAAGUGCCAGUAAACGGCGGUGGUAACUAUAACCAUCCUAAGGUAGCGAAAUUCCUUGUCGGGUAAGUUCCGACCUGCACGAAUGGCGUAACGACUUCCCUACUGUCUCAACCACAGGCCCGGCGAAAUUGCACUACGAGUAAAGAUGCUCGUUACGCGCGGAAGGACGGAAAGACCCCGGGACCUUCACUAUAGCUUGACAUUGGUAUCCGAAUUUAAUUGUGUAGGAUAGGUGGGAGGCUUUGAUCCGCGGACGCCAGUCCGUCGGGGAGCCAACGUUGAAAUACCACUCUGUUGACUUUGGGUAUCUAACUUCGGACCGUGAUCCGGUUCAGGGACAGUGUCUGGUGGGUAGUUUAACUGGGGCGGUUGCCUCCUAAAAUGUAACGGAGGCGCCCAAAGGUUCCCUCAGCCUGGUUGGCAAUCAGGUGUUGAGUGCAAGUGCACAAGGGAGCUUGACUGUGAGACUGACAGGUCGAGCAGGGACGAAAGUCGGGACUAGUAAUCCGGCACCUGCGAGUGGAAGCGGUGUCGCUCAACGGAUAAAAGGUACCCCGGGGAUAACAGGCUGAUCUUCCCCAAGAGUCCAUAUCGACGGGAUGGUUUGGCACCUCGAUGUCGGCUCGUCGCAUCCUGGGGCUGGAGUAGGUCCCAAGGGUUGGGCUGUUCGCCCAUUAAAGCGGCACGCGAGCUGGGUUUAGAACGUCGUGAGACAGUUCGGUCCCUAUCCUCCGCGCGCGUAGGAGACUUGAGAAGAGCUGUCCCUAGUACGAGAGGACCGGGACGGACGAACCUCUGGUGUGCCAGUUGUCAUGCCAAUGGCACGGCUGGUUAGCUACGUUCGGAAGGGAUAACCGCUGAAAGCAUCUAAGCGGGAAGCUCGCUUCAAGAUGAGGUCUCCCACCCCUUAGAGGGUUAAGGCCCCCAGCUAGACCACUGGGUUGAUAGGCCAGAAGUGUAAGCCUGGUAACAGGUUCAGCCGACUGGUACUAAUAGGCCGAGGACUUCACCG
rnacentral:rRNA from 1 species